UACGGAGGGUGCAAGCGUUGUCCGGAUUUAUUGGGUUUAAAGGGUGCGUAGGUGGCCCUAUAAGUCAGUGGUGAAAGCCUGCAGCUUAACUGUAGGAUUGCCAUUGAUACUGUAGGGCUUGAGUACUGAUGAGGUAGGCGGAAUUGAUAGUGUAGCGGUGAAAUGCAUAGAUAUUAUCAAGAACACCGAUUGCGAGGGCAGCUUACUAAGGAGUUACUGACACUGAGGCACGAAAGCGUGGGGAUCAAACAGG
rnacentral:rRNA from 1 species